rnacentral:tRNA from 1 species
GGCCGACUAGCUCAACUGAAUAGAGCACCUGACUACGGAUCAGGAGGUUGGGGGUUUGAAUCCCUUGUCGGUCA